rnacentral:lncRNA from 10 species
CAACACUCCACUCAGACAAUGCCCAGACCUCCAGAAACCAUGUGUCAAGCUCGGAUUGCCUUAGACAGAAGCUCACCCAGCUGGAACUCUUAUGGGACCUUGGCACCAGAGACCACAAAUUCCUCUUUGAAGUUUUCUAACAGCAACAAUGGUAUUUCUGACUUGGCUUUCUUGUAUUUCUCUCACGUUAACAAAAUUGGUUCAGCAUCUAC